rnacentral:lncRNA from 1 species
AAGAGAAGACUCAACACCAACUAGGCAACUAAGCGCAUACCCAAUUGCAAGUGCAAAUACAGAUUUCAUAUUAACCAAGUCAGAGUGGCAAAUACAACUACAGUCCAGAAAUCUCAAGGAGGCAUUAUAAUAUACCUAAUGACCAAACCAAUUAAUUUAAGCUAUCAUGACAAUUAAAGUAACACGACCAAACAGAACAAAUAUCGAAAAGAGAAUAAAAACAUUAAACUGAACACUGGAACAACUAAAUAUACAAA